rnacentral:rRNA from 1 species
GACGAACGCUGGCGGCGUGCUUAACACAUGCAAGUCGAACGGAAAGGCCCUGCUUUUGUGGGGUGCUCGAGUGGCGAACGGGUGAGUAACACGUGAGUAACCUGCCCUUGACUUUGGGAUAACUUCAGGAAACUGGGGCUAAUACCGGAUAGGAGCUCCUGCUGCAUGGUGGGGGUUGGAAAGUUUCGGCGGUUGGGGAUGGACUCGCGGCUUAUCAGCUUGUUUGUGGGGUAGUGGCUUACCAAGGCUUUGACGGGUAGCCGGCCUGAGAGGGUGACCGGCCACAUUGGGACUGAGAUACGGCCCAGACUCCUACGGGAGGCAGCAGUGGGGAAUAUUGCACAAUGGGCGGAAGCCUGAUGCAGCAACGCCGCGUGCGGGAUGACGGCCUUCGGGUUGUAAACCGCUUUCGCCUGUGACGAAGCGUGAGUGACGGUAAUGGGUAAAGAAGCACCGGCUAACUACGUGCCAGCAGCCGCGGUGAUACGUAGGGUGCGAGCGUUGUCCGGAUUUAUUGGGCGUAAAGGGCUCGUAGGUGGUUGAUCGCGUCGGAAGUGUAAUCUUGGGGCUUAACCCUGAGCGUGCCUUCGAUACGGGUUGACUUGAGGAAGGUAGGGGAGAAUGGAAUUCCUGGUGGAGCGGUGGAAUGCGCAGAUAUCAGGAGGAACACCAGUGGCGAAGGCGGUUCUCUGGGCCUUUCCUGACGCUGAGGAGCGAAAGCGUGGGGAGCGAACAGGCUUAGAUACCCUGGUAGUCCACGCUGUAAACGGUGGGUACUAGGUGUGGGGUCCAUUCCACGGGUUCCGUGCCGUAGCUAACGCUUUAAGUACCCCGCCUGGGGAGUACGGCCGCAAGGCUAAAACUCAAAGGAAUUGACGGGGCCCCGCACAAGCGGCGGAGCAUGCGGAUUAAUUCGAUGCAACGCGUAGAACCUUACCUGGGUUUGACAUGGAUCGGGAGUGCUCAGAGAUGGGUGUGCCUCUUUUGGGGUCGGUUCACAGGUGGUGCAUGGCUGUCGUCAGCUCGUGUCGUGAGAUGUUGGGUUAAGUCCCGCAACGAGCGCAACCCUUGUUCACUGUUGCCAGCACGUUAUGGUGGGGACUCAGUGGAGACCGCCGGGGUCAACUCGGAGGAAGGUGGGGAUGACGUCAAGUCAUCAUGCCCCUUAUGUCCAGGGCUUCACGCAUGCUACAAUGGCUGGUACAGAGAGUGGCGAGCCUGUGAGGGUGAGCGAAUCUCGGAAAGCCGGUCUCAGUUCGGAUUGGGGUCUGCAACUCGACCUCAUGAAGUCGGAGUCGCUAGUAAUCGCAGAUCAGCAACGCUGCGGUGAAUACGUUCCCGGGGCU